GCUGUCUGUAGCUUGGUGGCAGAGCCCUUGUUUUGCAUGCAGAAGGUCCUAGGUUCAGUCCCUGGCAGCAUCU